UAAAAUAUUUGCUGCUAGUAUUAGUGGAGAGAAGUGGUGCGCCUGUGCAUAAGCAACGCAAAGGUGUGGAGGAAACGUUGGACAGACCCACUGGAGGGACAUUCUACAAAGGAACUGGCCUAAACUCUUCAAAAGUUUCAAGGUCAUGAAUGAGAAAGAAAGACUGAGGAACUGCUCCCAACUAAAGGAGACCAGGGCCGCUACAUGCAGACUUGGUUGCAGACAUCAGUACCCGUCACCCCUAACCACUUCAGCAUUAGCUCGAGCACUAGCACCCCUCUAUUACUGGGGUGAGUACCCUAGUGAAGACGACAUUUUCCAGCUUCUCUUGCAGCUAGAGAUGACCAGUGUGGUAUAAUUAAGAAGCUAUAGGUGAGGUGUCCAGGGAGGCUCUUUAACGGGGCUGACUCAGCUAUGAGAGACAUUCCCUUUUCCCUCUCUCCUCUGCAAUCCCCUUUUCCCCCACGACUUUUUUCUCUGUUCUCCCUGGAACUCAGAUGUGAUGGCCAGAGCUUCAGGGCCAUCUUGAAACAUGAGGCAGACAUUGAAGCAAUAGGAGUCACGUCGUGAAGGUGGUGAAACCAGAAGAUAAAAGGCUCUUGGCUUCUUUUUUUUUUAAUCCUCACCCAAGGAUAUUUUUCUGUUGAUUUUUAAGGAGAGUGGAAGGGGGAGGGAAAAACA